ACCAAAGAGCAGCACAGGAGGGGAGCAGAGCGCCAUAAGGAGGUGCUGCAAGUGAGGACAGCUGCAGGGUCCGUCUCUGGACCGAGCAGCUGAUGAAGAGGCACCGGGCGACUGCAGGAACAUUCCCAGUUAGCCAAUGUGUGGUGUUGAUGUUUUUGUUGCUGAUGGAUUCGGAUCCCCGGCCCUCGGAAAGCUAAGUUGAGG